rnacentral:rRNA from 1 species
AUUGAACGCUGGCGGCAUGCCUUACACAUGCAAGUCGAACGGUAACGCGGGGCAACCUGGCGACGAGUGGCGAACGGGUGAGUAAUGUAUCGGAACGUGCCCAGUUGUGGGGGAUAACUGCUCGAAAGAGCAGCUAAUACCGCAUACGACCUGAGGGUGAAAGCGGGGGAUCGCAAGACCUCGCGCAAUUGGAGCGGCCGAUAUCAGAUUAGGUAGUUGGUGGGGUAAAGGCUCACCAAGCCAACGAUCUGUAGCUGGUCUGAGAGGACGACCAGCCACACUGGGACUGAGACACGGCCCAGACUCCUACGGGAGGCAGCAGUGGGGAAUUUUGGACAAUGGGCGCAAGCCUGAUCCAGCCAUGCCGCGUGCGGGAAGAAGGCCUUCGGGUUGUAAACCGCUUUUGUCAGGGAAGAAAAGACUCCUGUUAAUACCGGGGGUUCAUGACGGUACCUGAAGAAUAAGCACCGGCUAACUACGUGCCAGCCGCCGCCGUAA